CUGAGCCCCACGUUAGCGUUUGCGAUUCAGGAGUCCUUUCUCCCAGCCCUGGAGGCGGCGACGCGGAGCGGCCCCGGGGCGGAGAGCUGGUGCGCAGGCGCCCGGGCUCGGCCCCCUGCCCGGCGCUGUCCGAGGUGCUGGACGCCGGCGGCGCGCGCUCCAAGGCCGCCGCUGUUCCUGGGCAUCUUCCAGAAGGCCGAGCUUGGCGUCAGGUGCAAACCGCGCGCAGAAGUAAUUCGCGGUUGUUGUACGCGGCGCAAAGCACAAGGCAUUGUAUUUACAAAGUGCAGCCCCCGCCCCAGGCUCCGGAGACCUCCAGCCCCUCCCUCGGAGGUAGCCCUGCAUUUGCAAACCAGCCCUGCUGGUACAGACUGUCCAGACGGUCGCUACAUUUAUGGUGAGCAUCGUGUAACUACAAGCUUGUUGAAUCGCUGUGCUGUACCCUGACAAUAAGGGAACAUGGCGUGUCACUACGGUCUAUGUCAUGGGGCCGGAGAGGAGGGGCGCCUGAAUUAACCGUGUACAAUGCUGGGUGCGCUGCCUGGGUGCUCGGCUCCAUUUAUUCAAGAAAAGUGUACUGAGUUUGGGCUGUGUGACCAGAUCUGCGUUUUCUUGGUAUGCCCUAGAGUCAGCUGUGAACAAGAAAGACAAGUUCUCUGCUUUCGUGGAGGGACCUUCUAACAAUCCAGAUUUGUCCACAUCUCUUGGGCAUUUUUCUACAGAUUUCAAAUGUAUCCUUCAUGAAGAUUGCGUCAGUUUGCAUUACCCCUUGCUCAUAGUGAAGUGGGUCUUCAACCACAGGAGAUCUCAUCGUUAAAGAAAUUGGCCAGAGUGAUAAUUACAAAGCAGGACGCAGCAAGAAGAUGAGGGGUCCUCUCCAGGAACUGAAUCAUCCAGCACCUUGGUCUUUGGCUUCCCAGACUCCAGAACUGUGAGAAAUAAAUGUUUGUUGUACUUGUUAUGGCAGCCCAAGAACAAGACAGUCCACACAAACUUGGCCAUAAGCUUUCUGAGUUCAGUCAUCUGAGUCUGUUCAUUGAUGAUUCUCUCCCCACAGUGCUCAUCAUUAUUUUUUUGGGUGAGAUUCCUAGGAGAACAAGAGCUACUUUCUGACUGUAAGUCCUAGAGGCUUUUUGUUUCUUCAGGUGUGUGCUAUAAGCACGGGAACACUUAGCAGGUUGGCUGGAUUACCCACUCUGGUGAUGGCAAUAAGCCUCCUAAGGGACACCAUCCUUCAAAGCAACCGUCGUGGGUACCAUCAUGGCACAAGGCUGCCUAGGCGGUGAGACCCUCCUGAAACCCCUUAAAACUUCGGGCACCAGCCUAUGUAAAGCAGUAAUAUUGAAUCAAGUUGGAACCCAGUGAGGACUCACAGUGUAUGUCAUCACAAAGGCUCUGGCGUCAACCCCAAACACCUCAGUGGAAAUUUGGGACCAGACUCUGAGUCACUUCUGCCUCUCAAGACUUCUCUCUAAUUGUGAGCUCAAAGGUACUGUCACCUGGGAAGCAACUUGGGAAAAUACCUUGGAAAACUGGCAUUUGCACAUCUCGUGGCGUCCUGGUAACGGCAACUGGUUUCCUGCUGGGAAAAUGGAUGUGUAUAUUUACACAUAUAAACGUGUCUAGACAUAUGUGCAUGAUGUAUGUGCAUCUAUACAGACACACACAUAGAAGUUUAUCUAAACCUGAUUAAUAUAAACGGCAUGGAGUACGCUAUUUACAAAUCAUAA